AGCGAACGCUGGCGGCAGGCUUAACACAUGCAAGUCGAACGGUCCUUCGGGAUAGUGGCGGACGGGUGAGUAACACGUGGGAACGUGCCCUUAGGUUCGGAACAACACAGGGAAACUUGUGCUAAUACCGGAUAAGCCCUUCGGGGGAAAGAUUUAUCGCCUUUGGAGCGGCCCGCGUCUGAUUAGCUUGUUGGUGAGGUAAUGGCUCACCAAGGCUACGAUCAGUAGCUGGUCUGAGAGGAUGGCCAGCCACACUGGGACUGAGACACGGCCCAGACUCCUACGGGAGGCAGCAGUGGGGAAUCUUGUGCAAUGGGCGAAAGCCUGACGCAGCCAUGCCGCGUGGAUGAUGAAGGUCUUAGGAUUGUAAAAUCCUUUCACCGGGGACGAUAAUGACGGUACCCGGAGAAGAAGCCCCGGCUAACUUCGUGCCAGCAGCCGCGGUAA
rnacentral:rRNA from 1 species